GGACAUAAGGAGUACUCCCUCUAUUCUGAUUUGUAUGAUUCUGGUUAGCUCAAGUUUGAGAUAAGCAACGUCAAAUGAAAAAGAAUGUAAGGAGUAUUAAUUUUUUAAUGUAUCUCAACAGACAUGCCCAUGGUGCAGCAAUUCGACUUUAAACAAAGCUAAGUAACAAAUUGACCUACACAUCUCUUGUUAUGCAUCUUCAACGAUAACUUGGGGCGAUGCAAGGUGUGACUCGACAGCAGAUAGUUCAUUAUAUCUUGUUUCCUUCUUUGAACCGGAUUAGUUCAAUUAACUAAGUUUUGGUCAUCCCAAUAACCCAAAGAAAAAGAAAAGCUUACAUCCCUGAUUAUCAUAGUUAAGCCUGAAGAUAACCAUUUACUAGUAACACGAGAUAGAAGGAAGUCGAAACAAUGGCAGGAGGCGGCUAAUGUAUUGAUAGACCAUCAAAUUAAUUAUAUU
rnacentral:lncRNA from 1 species